UAUUUCCUAUCACGGUAUUAAAGUUCAAUAAAUGAUAAAACGGUAUUUCAUAAAUCAACAGAUGUGUGAAAUUGUUUAAGGUCGCUAAUGGAGCCCGAGUCUGGUGUGUUUGUUGGUUAGCUGUUGUUUGGCCUAUUUUACAGUUUUAAAUGUAGUAUGAGCUCUGAUGUUUUCAUUUCAUAGUUUCGUGUGCAUAUUUUACUAUUUUAUUGAUUAUGGGUUGAAUGACUGAGAACCCGAUGUUGUAUGUUGUCUUGUUUGGCAUAAAUUACUGGUUUGCUUGUUUGUGUGCGAAUUGAUGAUGCUGACUGGGGAAAAGGGGAAUGAAAGGUUAUGUAAAUUGAUAAUUGCAUAAUGUGGUCAGCC
rnacentral:lncRNA from 1 species